CACUCAAUUCAAACAGCGCGUGUGCCAGUUGCACCUCGAUCGCUCCGCCUGCAGCUGAUCACUAGGUCUGUGGCAUCGAGGAGACGCCAACGUGUGGAAACAAUCAAAUUAUUACUGUGGAGCCACAACAAGGGUGGUGUGUAGUUCCAGGUGUCGUCUAAUGGUGCAACACUGUGUGGAUGAAUAGUGUUUACACCAGCAGAUGGAGCCAAACGUCACAGGACAUGAGGCCAACAAUUCACCGUCCCCGAUUCCUCCUCUUAUGGAGUUAAAGCUGCUGCUCUGUGACACCUCCCAGCUCAUUACACCAGCCAUCUACAGGUGAUGAACAUGAUCCCUGUUGGCUUCAUAUGUUGUCUGCUUCUAACACAGAGUAACGCUGCGUCUGACAGCAAACGUGUCGUCCAAACGCCACGUUUCAUGGUCAAGAGACCUGGUGAACACGUCGACAAGGAGAUCAGCUGUUCACACAGCAUCACAGACUAUAACCGUAUCCUAUGGUAUAAACAAGACAAACACAGAGAGCUGAGGUUUCUGGGAUAUCUGAAUGUAAACUUCCCAUAUCCAGAAGACGACGUGAAAGGAAAAGUCAGCUUUGAUGGAGACGGACGCAAGCAGUCAGGCCUCAACGUGUCCAGUCUCACACUGGAGGACAGUGGUGUGUACUUCUGUGCCGCCAGUCAGCACAGUGCUGCAGAUCCUCCUCCAGUCAAUACAAAAACCUUCAGCUGCGACGCCUGAAUUUGAUCCCAACCACCAUCACACACAUAUGUACAGCAGCAGCAGCCACGUGUGAUCUAAUCGGUGCUCUGCAUCCUAAACCAAUUAAACCACACGCUGAGCGGAGCGGCUCGCUGCGUCGCCUCACCCCCUGCUGUGACAC